rnacentral:rRNA from 1 species
GGAUUAGAUACCCUGGUAGUCCACGCUGUAAACGAUGUCAACUAGCUGUUGGCCUUAUGAAUGAGGUUAGUGGCGCAGCAAACGCGAUAAGUUGACCGCCUGGGGAGUACGGUCGCAAGAUUAAAACUCAAAGGAAUUGACGGGGGCCCGCACAAGCGGUGGAGCAUGUGGUUUAAUUCGAUGCAACGCGAAGAACCUUACCUACCCUUGACAUACAGUGAAUUUUGCAGAGAUGUGAGAGUGCCUUCGGGAACACUGAUACAGGUGCUGCAUGGCUGUCGUCAGCUCGUGCC